AGUCUUCUGUGGAAAGUCAUAGUGGUAAGACGUGCGUCGUGAUCGUGUACCGGCUUUGGUGAUUCAACUACGCAUUUAUUUUACGUGGAAUCGUCGAAAGAGAAAUGGACUCGUCCAAAAGGAAAAAUGGACUCGUCCAAAAAGAAAAAAUGGACUCGUCCAAAAAAAAUAAGUGGACUCGUCCACAUCACGAGUGGGAAAAGUUCCAAUACAGACACCAUCAUACUUCGUUAAAGAGAAGUUUAUUUUAUUUUCUUUUAUUUUAUUUUAUUUUAUAUUAUUUUAAUUUUAUUUUAUUUUAUUCUUUAUUAUACAUAUUUAGUUUAUUCCUAUUAAAUUUUAUAAUGAACAUUUACUACAAAUAUUAAUACUUUUCUUUAAAUAAUUUAAAAAUAUUCUAUAAAAUUUUUUAUUCGUGAAAAAUUGACAAUAAUCAGAUUCAAUAAAUAAUAAUAUUUUAUGAAAUAAAUACAUUUUAUGGGAAAAAUAUUUUCAUUAAUAGGUUCUGUUUCUAUAGAUUCCCCUCGCCCCAACUAAUACAGAUUUAUUUUCAGAAUUUUUUUUUUGAUCGCGCGCAAUGCGGUCUAUAGAUUCAGUGUUUGUACGUAACAGUUUUUUUAUAUUUUAGAGCAUAAAAGCUCUGAUUAAAUUUCUAUAUUAUAAUCGCGAAAUUAAAGUCAGUGUUUGUUCGCCGAUGAAAUUUAUACGGACGGGUUAGUAAUUUUUUUUUUAUAUGUGUGUGUACAAAUAUUCGUUUUCGGUACAAAAUAGAGUCAGUGUUUGUUCGACGACUGAAAAUUAUACGGACGGGUUAAUAAUUUCUUUCUUUUUUCUUUUUUUUUUUUUUUAUAUAUAUAUAUGUGUGUAUAAAUAUUCGUUUUCGGUAUAAAGUAGAGUCAGUGCUUUUCAAGAGAAUAAGGCGAUCAUCCAUCACGCGAAGAGUUUCCUAUGCUUGAUGACUCCUUUCUCGAUGACGUGCCCUGGGUCCUGGAUAGCAUUGCAGAUUCUUCGCAUCGUUUGGUGAGUCGCAUGCAUUUAUGUUCCUCCAAUCACUCAAUCAUGUCGUAGGAUGAAAGGUCCGAAUCGACACGGGUGAUUGGUUGUAUACGUAGAUUUUUGCACGAGCACAGUGACCGCGGGUAUUUAUUAUACCCGUGAGUAAUAACAUUUCUUUUUUUUUGAUGUUUUAUUUACUAGAUCAGGAUAGGGCUUCUUGCACAUCGCGUUUUUGAAAAGACAAUAUUGAUAGUUAAUUUUAUAUUAAUAAUGUUUUAAUAUAAUAUGAUAUAACAUAAAUAAUUAGUUUGGUUAUAUAUAUAAUUAUUUGUGAAAUCAAAUAUAAUAAAUAGGUAUAUACAUUUAUGAAUAUAUUUAUGAAUAAAAUGUGUGAAUAUUUUAAUAAAUGAGAAAUAUUGAAGUGACUUGAAUAAAGUCUCUUUUAGUGAAGAAAUCAGAUAUCCUCUGAUUUCGUUACAAUAAAAAUAUCAAAAUAAAUGUUACACAAUAGUAUAAUAAUAAUAUAAUAUUGAAUAUAACGAAUAACGUUUAAUUCUAUCUUUAGUUUCAUAAUAUUAUUUGAUUUUCUGUAAAGCGAAGCAUAAUUUGAAAUGUGAAAAUAUUUUAUUUUUUCCGUAAGAAAAAUGUAUGAAAAAUUAUGUGCAAGAAGAUAUUUCGCGACAGGUAGAUUUCUAGAUCAAAGUAACAAGUUUUUCACAUUGAUUUUGCUUUUUCGAAAAUGUAC